AGGGGCGGUCGUGGUUUUCUUCGAUGCGAUCUUGUUUAGGAAAGUGAAGGUGAGAGAACAUUGCCGAGGCUCAGGCACCAUGGCUUCCUCCAUCACAAGAAGUGUGAACUUUAUCGCAAAGUUAGGCCCACUCCUUAAUGGAACGAGGACUGUCACGCAGAUUCCCAAUGUAUUGCAGAAAAGAAGUUUUACUGCUUCUAAACCUUUCCCGGUUGCACAAUAUGGCGGUCGCUUCACUGUGACUAUGCUUCCUGGUGAUGGCAUUGGGCCAGAGAUGAUGGGCUAUGUUGAGAAUAUCUUCAGAUAUGCAGGCGUCCCAGUUGACUUUGAAGAGGUUGAGAUUACCAAGAAUUCUACUGAGGAAGAAUUUGCAAAUGCCCUUACUUGCAUCAAGAGGAAUGGUGUUGCUUUGAAAGGUAGCAUUGAGAGCAAGUACGGAGAAUCAGGAUCCUCUCGCAACGCAGCCCUUCGCAAUGAGCUGGACCUCUUUGCCAAUGUGUUGCACUGCAAGUCGUAUCCAGCUGUGCGCUCUAUCUACCAGGAUGUAGACAUUGUCAUUAUUCGCCAGAAUACUGAGGGGGAAUAUUCCAUGUUGGAGCAUGAAAAUGUAAAAGGUGUCAUUGAGAGUCUGAAGAUCAUCACAAGAGAGGCCUCAGAACGCCUUGCUCGGUAUGCCUUUGAAUACGCUGUCACCCAUGGGCGUCAGAAGGUCACAGCAGUGCACAAAGCUAAUAUUAUGAAACUUUCAGAUGGGUUGUUCCUGCAAACUUGUCGCGACAUAGCAAAGGAUUAUCCAGAGGUUGAGUUCACAGACAUGAUUGUAGACAACACUUGCAUGCAGCUGGUGGCCAAACCUCAUCAAUUUGAUGUGAUGGUCAUGCCAAAUUUGUAUGGAACUGUCAUCUCUAAUGUGAUCUGUGGACUUGUUGGCGGGCCUGGUCUCCUGUCAGGCAGGAAUUACGGUGAUCACUUUGCUGUGUUUGAGCCUGGCACUCGAAACACUGGAACUGCAGUUGCUGGUCGUAACAUUGCAAAUCCAGUUGCUAUGCUGAAUGCUUCAUGUGACCUGCUGGAACAUCUUGGUUUGAAUAAUCAUGCAACCAUGAUACGAGAUGCCAUCAUCAAGACACUAUGUAUUGACAGGAUUCACACAUCUGAUUUGGGAGGCCAAGCAACUAGCCUUGAUGUUGUGCAGAACAUCAUUCAGGCAAUUCAGACAAGCACUUCAUCCACCAAGUGGUAACUUAAAAUUUGUAUCUCAAGGCUUUCCUGUAGCUCCUCUCAGCAUGUAGGUGUGUAAGAAAAUGAUGCCGUUUGUGAAGAAGACUCCAUGAAUACCCGUGGCCAACACCGCGCCACCGCAACCGCCUUCACAUUCCCUUCAGUUUAUCGUCAUAUUGAAACGAUGAAAUUACGGUCAUAUUUGUUUCUUGGCGUCCAUCGCAUCCAAGAGGGUACCGGGAUGGAAAUCAAAGUAGUUGGACGGAGGCUUUCACUCCGGUCGAUCUUCAGCAGUGCACAUUGCUCACACCGUAGGCCAUCCCAUCCCCGGCAUGGAUGUGAACAUAAGUUUUGGGAAAGGUUCUUUCAUGUAUUAGGGUGUCUGCAUUUAAUCGUUUAACUGUAUUCCCUUUAUGCGUUUUUAUCAGUUAUAUUUGCUUUUAUAUUUGUCUACCCAUAAAUUGUGUUUAUGUAUAUUGUAAAUAAUAGAUUCAAUAUAUUUAUAUUUAUUACCAUAAAAGAGAAACAUCUUAGAGCCGGAUCAUCAAGCAUUUUAUGACCCUCGAGACGUAAUAAGGACACAGGCUAGUAAUGUUCAUUUUUGAUAUCUGAUCAAGAGAAUCCAGGUGAUGUGAAUCUAUACCAACAAUCUUUAGAUUGGAAUCCAUCUUUGUAAAUAGUUUAGCAAGGUGUAAUUGUUAAUAUACGUUUAUUUUAAA
rnacentral:misc_RNA from 1 species